rnacentral:rRNA from 1 species
AUUGAACGCUGGCGGCAUGCCUUACACAUGCAAGUCGAACGGUAACAGGGAGCUUGCUCCGCUGACGAGUGGCGAACGGGUGAGUAAUGUAUCGGAACGUACCAUUCAGUGGGGGAUAACGUAGCGAAAGUUACGCUAAUACCGCAUAUUCUGUGAGCAGGAAAGCAGGGGAUCGCAAGACCUUGCGCUGAUUGAGCGGCCGAUAUCAGAUUAGCUAGUUGGUGAGGUAAAGGCUCACCAAGGCGACGAUCUGUAGCGGGUCUGAGAGGAUGAUCCGCCACACUGGAACUGAGACACGGUCCAGACUCCUACGGGAGGCAGCAGUGGGGAAUUUUGGACAAUGGGGGCAACCCUGAUCCAGCCAUGCCGCGUGAGUGAAGAAGGCCUUCGGGUUGUAAAGCUCUUUCGGCCGGGAAAAAUCGCAUCAGUUAAUACCUGGUGUGGAUGAUGGUACCGGAAUAAGAAGACGACCGGCUAACU